rnacentral:lncRNA from 1 species
GUCUCUGGUAUCUCCCGCUGAGCUGCUCUGUUCCCGGCUUAGAGGACCAGGAGAAGGGGGAGUUGGAGGCUGGAGCCUGUAACACCGUGGCUCGUCUCGCUCUGGAUGGUGGUGGCAACAGAGAUGGCAGCGCAGCUGGAGUGUUAGGAGGGCGGCCUGAGCGGUAGGAGUGGGGCUGGAGCAGUAAGAUGGCGGCCGGAGCAGUAAGAUGGCGGCUGGAGUGGUUUUUCUGGCAUUGUCUGCCCAGCUGCUCCAAGCCAGGCUGAUGAAGGAGGAGUCCCCUGUGGUGAGCUGGAGGUUGGAGCCUGAAGAUGGCACAGCUCUCGAUGUGCAUUUUGUAAGCACUUUGGAGCCACUAUCAAAUGCUGUGAAGAGAAAUGUACCCAGAUGUAUCAUUAUCCUUGUGCUGCAGGAGCCGACACCUUUCAGGAUUUCAGUCACAUCUUCCUGCUUUGUCCAGAACACAUUGACCAAGCUCCUGAAAGAUCGAAGGAAGAUGCAAACUGUGCAGUGUGCGACAGCCCGGGAGACCUCUUAGAUCAGUUCUUUUGUACUACUUGUGGUCAGCACUAUCAUGGAAUGUGCCUGGAUACAGCGGUUACUCCAUUAAAACGUGCAGGUUGGCAAUGUCCUGAGUGCAAAGUGUGCCAGAACUGCAAACAAUCGGGAGAAGAUAGCAAGAUGCUAGUGUGUGAUACGUGUGACAAAGGGUAUCAUACUUUUUGUCUUCAACGAAUUAUGAAAUCUGUACCAACCAACGGCUGGAAAUGCAAAUGAAUACCGAAUUGGAAAAACAGAUUUCUAAUGAGGCUGAUAGUGAAGAAAUGAAAAUGUCUUCUGAAGUGAAGCAUAUUUGUGGCGAAGAUCAAAUUGAAGAUAAAAUGGAAGUGACAGAAAACAUUGAAGUCGUUACACACCAGAUCACUGUGCAGCAAGAGCAACUGCAGUUGUUAGAGGAACCUAAAACAGUGGUAUCCAAAGAAGAAUCAAGGCCUCCAAAAUUUGUCAUUGAAUCUGUCACUCUUCCACUAGAAACCUUAGUGUCCCCACAUGAGGAAAGCACUUCAUUAUGUCCUGAGGAACAGUUGGUUAUAGAAAGGCUACAAGGAGAAAAGGAACAGAAAGAAGAUUCUGAACUUUCUACUGGAUUGAUGGACUCUGAAAUGACUCCUACAAUUGAGGGUUGUGUGAAAGAUGUUUCAUACCAAGGAGGCAAAUCUAUAAAGUUAUCAUCUGAGACAGAGUCAUCAUUUUCAUUAUCAGCAGACAUAAGCAAGGCAGAUGUGUCUUCCUCCCCAACACCUUCUUCAGACUUGCCUUCGCAUGACAUGCUGCGUAAUUACCCUUCAGCUCUUAGUUCCUCUGCUGGAAACAUCAUGCCAACAACUUACAUCUCAGUCACUCCAAAAAACUGGCAUGGGUAAACCAGCUAUUACUAAGAGAAAAUUUUCUCCUGGUAGACCUCGGUCCAAACAGGAGGCUUGGAGUACCCAUAAUACAGUGAGCCCACCCUCGUGGUCCCCAGACAUUUCAGGAGGUCGGGAAAUUUUUAAACCCAGGCAGCUUCCUGGCAGUGCCAUUUGGAGCAUCAAAGUGGGCCAUGGGUCUGGAUUUCCAAGAAAGCGGAGACCUCGAGGUGCAGGACUGUCGGGGCGAGGUGGCCGAGGCAGGUCAAAGCUGAAAAGUGGAAUCGGAGCUGUUGUAUUGCCUGGGGUGUCUACUGCAGAUAUUUCAUCAAAUAAGGAUGAUGAAGAAAACUCUAUGCACACUACGGUUGUGUUGUUUUCUAGCAGUGACAAGUUCACUUUGAAUCAGGAUAUGUGUGUAGUUUGUGGCAGUUUUGGCCAAGGAGCAGAAGGAAGACUACUUGCCUGUUCUCAGUGUGGUCAGU